UACGAAGGGGGCGAGCGUUGUUCGGAUUUACUGGGCGUAAAGGGCGCGCAGGCGGCUCAUUUUGUCAGGCGUGAAAGCCCCGGGCUUAACCUGGGAGGUGCGUUUGAUACGGAUGGGCUGGAGUUCGGGGGAGGAGAGCGGAAUUCCCAGUGUAGAGGUGAAAUUCGUAGAUAUUGGGAAGAACACCGGUGGCGAAGGCGGCUCUCUGGACCGAGACUGACGCUGAGGCGCGAAAGCGUGGGGAGCAAACAGG
rnacentral:rRNA from 1 species